AUACCUUAAACUUAUGAGUAAGGAAAAUAAAGAUUCGGGGUGACGCCUGAAUCCUCUCUGCAACUGUGAGGUGAAUCUUUGUGUAGGUAAAGGUUGCCUUGCGGGUGACCAGCCUACUUUGCUGGAUGCCUGAGUGGAGCAAUGUGCCAU